GCUCUCUCUGUACGACUUCCAGCAACACCAGGAAGAAUGAUUGAAAUUCAUCCUGUGUGCCUGUAGGAACACUACAUCCUCAUGUGCAAGAGACUAGAUUUGUAUGCAUGUCCCCAGAAGCUGUCUACCAAUUUUAAGCAACUGAGCAGAGAAGAGGCCAUAAAAGAAUAUAAUGUUUAUAGCCAAGGAUUCCUGACAAGGGAUGAAAGAGAAGCUAAGAAAAAAGAAUUGUUGCACUGUAGAUAGAUAGAUACUGUCAUUGUACAAAAACAAAAAAAAAUUGUACAGAACAAUACAAAUUUCAAUCCAGGUCAACCACAUAACAUAACAAUUUAGGAACAACAUAUUGAUUAAAACUCCUCAACCAGGUUCAUUCUUACAAUAAUAGAUAGAAAAAAUAUAACGUGAGGUUCUAGAUUUGAUACAGCGGAAACGCCUUUUCGAAUAUAAAAGAGAGAACGAGGAUGCUGGCAAUCUUUUAAAAUACUAUUUACUUACGUAAACUGCUCCUGAUGUACAGUUCUUCAACGGUGGGCAACUCAGUACUAAUAAUAUACCCAGUUGUUUUGACCACCCGGUCUAUUUUGGUGCAAUUUCCGUUUCAAACUGAAAUUCAGUAAGUUAGGACAUUCUCAAUACCGCAGUGGUACAAAUUCAUUAAAUGUUUCUUGAGCAAAUUCACUGGCUACAAUAUCCUCAAAAAAUACAAUCGCUGUUGCGCAUUCUUAACCAUAACCAUAACUGAAACAUUAGAACUCCAAGACAAAUCAUUCGAGAUGAUGG